AACAGAAAAUUUAAUGAGCUUUUAAUGGAAUGCAAUGCUCAGAGUAGUAAAUUAUUUGUUAGUUGACGAUGCAAUCAGCAUGCUGAUUAAGGUUGCUUGGUUUUUUACUAAACAUUAACUGAAUGAAAACGGGUAGUCCUUGUUCUGCUUGGGGGGCUUUAAGGAAGCAAAUGGACUUUCAGAACAGAGAUUGUCAAUAAAGAUUGAAGGUUUGUGGCAACCCUGCAUGGAUCAAGUCUAUUGGCAUAAUUUUUCCAACGGAAUACCCUUCCUAAGCUCUGGAUGUGUCCUCUGAGAAGGUACCCAUGACACAGACCACACUGGACACCAACUCAGAUACUGGGGGACGGUUCCACGACAGCUGAGUGUGGACAUGCUGAUCACUGAGCCCCUUGAUGAAUGAAAAGCUGCUAAGCUCUCCUCUCAAGCUGAUGGGGCUGGUGCUGCCUUGAAGCGCUGAGAGAUGCCAUGCCAAUUCACGGCAAGGUCUUUAUUGUUGAAACUCUUGCAUCAUGACAUCUUUAUGCAUGUGAAAAUACAGGAUGAAUUUCAACUAUAUGAUAUUGUUCAUGUUCAUCAGAAAUGUUAUUUGUCUUUACAAAGUCUGGUUUCAAUGAACCAGUUAUGUAAUGGAUAUUAAAUAAACAUGGAAUUUUACAUGUUCAUAAUAUUUGGUUUCUUGUUGUGAUUUUGAUGAACUACACUUUCGAGCACUGUCAGUUCAUCCUUAUUUACAAACAAAACGUUUGCCUGUAGCAGAGUGAUGUAGUGACUUGCUUUAUUUUAAGAUAAGUCAACUUUUCUAUUCAAUGUUUAAUGUGAAACUGACUCAAAAUGUUCUUUUAGGCCACAUUUACAUUUCUCUCUGUAUAACAUGUAUUAUACUAUCUUAAUGCUGUGAGCUAUAUAAACCAAAGACAUUCUAAUUCUGUUUUUAAUGUAUUUUUCCAAGAUAAAUAAUUUAUAACACACUAAUAAAAGUAAGGAGCUCAUAUUAAAAGAAUUAUAUGACCUACUGAAAUGGAUCUAUGGAAAUUGACUCUCUUAAAAGUAAUUCUGUGAAAUUAUUUUAUAUAAAAUUGACUUCCUUAUAUGAAUUCUUGACAACAAAUAUAAAACAAAAAGAACUUGAAAUCUCCCUUCUGUCCUUUUACACAUUGAAGAGAAGUAAUCGAAUACUUUCUAACUUUAUGAUUUUGGGGGUUCUUAGAAAAAGAAACCAGAUGAAUAGUAAACAUUUCAGUUGCACAUAUCAGCUCUGGCUACCUAUUUAAAAUAAAAAUACUGGGAACAUAUGUAUAUGUAUAACUGAUUCACUUUGUUAUAAAGCAGAAACUAACACAUCAUUGUAAAGCAAUUAUACCCCAA